CCAGGUUGGUGAGGUUACCCCGUAGGUCCUGCUCCUCCUCGAAAGCCUUGAACAGUGCGUUGAAGUUGCCGGCUCCAAAACCCUGGAGCGGGAGAGAGAAGAAGCCAGGGCCCCAGGGUCUAGGAAAGGCCCCACCUGGAUCUGGGACUUCUUCUUCCCCGGGGCCGGCUCAUUAAUGGGCAUCUUGAUGGACUCCUCGUAAUUGGCCACCACGAUGGAGCGCAGGGAGCUGUAUUCUGUGUGCACCUGCGUGUCAUCCACGGACCAGAACCGGUGAAACUGCAGAUUCUUCAGAUCCCAGAUGCCUGGCUCCGCCUCCAAGCUGACAUCUGCUGCUGUUUCAGCCCCAUCGCAAGCUGCGUGGAGCUAAAAUCAGGUGAAACCACUAUUAUCACGUCAGUGGCUCCAGCAUUGCGUAAGCCGGGAGUGAGGUUACUCAAGAUUAAACACUGAUGCCUUCCAGACUGAACCUGUGUCCUCAUCAUCCAAAGUCCCCAAGCUUUGAAACGUCAUCCACCCUUCAGAGUUAUUGAAAGUCAAUUUAGGGGAAAAAAGAGAAGAUACACAUAAUUAAAAGUAGAAAAAAACAAGGAGAAAAAAAAAAUACAGAAGACAAACCCACCCAGGAUCCUUCCUCCACAGACUAUAAACAACCACCAUGACUGAUCUGGGCAUAACCACUGAGCUACACAUUGAUACGUACGUAUGGGGACAUGUAUAGAUGGUUUUGAGUAUAGAUACACUUUCCUGUAACAACUUCUUAGACAUGUGCUUUGUAAACACUUUUCAUAGUAAUAAACACCUAUGUUCAUUGUG